GUAAGAUAAAGGCAAACCUGUCGAAAGGCAGGGACGCAAAGCCACGGGUCUAAAGCAAUUGCUAGGGCAGCCGGGCUACCAUG
rnacentral:ncRNA from 2 species